CACAAAUGAUGUGCUUCCAGAUUUUUCCAUGUAAGCGGCUAUCACAUUGGGCUCCUCAGGUAUAGGGAACUGAAAAAUUCAUGAAAGCAGCCCACUGGGGAAAGGGCCAGCCGUGGCCCGUGCCACACAGAAUUCACUGACAUCUGAUUAGAAUUCUGCCAGUCAGAGAAAAAGUCACUGAGCAGGAUGGACCAAGGAUCUCUCCUGGUGGGGUGUUCAUCUUUUUAUUUGAACUUAUAAUUCAGGAAACGUCUACAGUGAUGAUGUGAAGUGUGCUGAGAUAUGGAAAAUAUAAAGAGCAUUAUUCCCUCUGGCUGCACCAGUGUUCAUCUCUCUCCCUGUCCACAGCUGUCUCCACACCGACCAUUGGAUACAAUGGGAGGAUAGAAACGGAACUGAAGACGAAGAGACUUGCCCCAAGCAUUUAGCCUGGGUCCUGAAGGAGAGAUGGGGAACCCAAACUGCAGUUUAUUAUCGUCUUUAAAGGAGUAAGUGAGAGUGAUGAGCAAGGCUCCGGACAAAGUAGUGGAGGGGCGUUAACCAAGCACUGCUAGUAAAAGGCCUCCCCACCGGGUCUCAGAGGCUGAAGGAUUCUUCAACUAAGAAGAAAGAUGUGCUAAGAAAGUUUUUUCCUUGAUGGACAUAUGGACAGGUUGAAUAAUGUAAAAGAGCUUAGAGAAAAGCCUUCAUACUUCUGUUAUCUACCAUCUAAUUUUUUAAUUAAGAGUGGCCUCUGCUGAUACUGCCAUAUGUUGGGAGAGAUUAUGUCAAUGACAAAGAUUCCCCAUAUCCCAAUUUUCUGCUUCUGAUUUUGAGGCACUCUCUGUGUUAAAUUUUCAAUCUACAACUGAGAUGAAGCUUCCAAUUAUGGAGUACAAUUGUCUUCCUUGAGCUACAGAUACUGGGUGAUAACCUCAAAAAUUUCC
rnacentral:lncRNA from 1 species